rnacentral:lncRNA from 1 species
GUACUUUGACAGUUGAGCAAGUGUCUAUAGAUCUUCAUGAGCCCCUUUUGCUGAGAGCAUUGAACAAAUAACUUUGAUGCAACAUUCUCUACAGGUGCCACCUUUAUGCCUAGACUAAUUUUAAGAGGUCACAAGUAUUGAAAUUUGCCACUGACCCACACUUCGGCAAGCGGAAAGGAAUCCCAAAAUGAUCUCAUAAUUGAACAGCUCCUAUUCAUUGCCAAUCUCUCAUCAUUGAUACAAUAUCUGCACACAGCAGAAGCAAAAUAUACAUCAAACAAAACAAACGCAUGGUAGUCUCGAGACUAAAAGAUUUCAAUCUAACUUAAAACAGGGGUACAUCAUAUGCUGAUUAUUUAUGAAAACACAUAUGUACUCAGAACUCCAUGAAGCCUUUGCUGCAUCAUCUUCAUCAAGCUGGCUGUGAAAUUGAGUUCCCCCUAUCUUCCUAGAAUGGACUUGAUCCACCAAACGCCUUUGGUGUCCUUGGGUCCUUCUUCUUCCGGUGGACUGUCGCUAUGUGGAGUCUUGUGGAACUUGCUCACGUCAUACCCUUCUUCUUCAGCCUUGAACCAGCUGAUUGUAAAUUUCUUUGUCCAUACGGCUGUCUGCUUAGUAUCUGCAAAACAAAAAAGCCCACCAAUCAGCCAAUGAAAAUACAAAAAGAAAGAAACAAGAAUCAGAGCCCAACUCAUGAACUAAGGAUGUAACUCUCUUGGAUCAUUCGGUAGUUGAAUAUUCUCCUUGAUCCUCGCUAUGUCUUGACAUGUCAACUAACAAAUCUUAAAUCAUAAGAUAAGCCCCACCUCAAUAUUUGGGCGAACAACACAAACAAGCUCCCCACAAACUUGUAAUGCUUCUGAUGUGACUUUGUAAUAUCUCUCACAAAUAGUAGAUAAAACAGGGGAGGAAAGCACCUAAAACAUCAUAAUAAAAACAGAGAAAGUAAACACCCUGCAGCUGAUUUCGUAUAAACCCAACUCAGAAGCAGGUAGCAUAAACAGUUUAUAUACACAACAAAGGUAGGAAUUAUACCGUUGAACAAAAGAUAAGAGAAAACUGUCGAACAAUUACAAACUUUCCAAUAUAGAACCUAAUUCACCAGCCCUCACAAUGUAAAGGCUCGAUGGCGCCCAAAACUCCCGCUUGAAUUGCAUCACAAAAACCAUUCAAGGGGAAAGGCUCAUCUAGCCUCUCCGCAAGGGCCAAAAGGUGAAAAAGGUCUUAACAAUCUAAUCAUGCCAAAAAGGAAGAAACACACCUCAAGAAGCACAGACCACGACUUCAGGAAACCAUCGUACAUGGAAUCACCCAUAGCAACCUAACAAGCCUUUGGCCACAGCUAUAACGGUUCGAAAAGGUCGAACGAAUAACUCAUUGCGAACCACGGAAGUAGGAGCCAUUGCCCCUCGGACGGCUGUAGUCAUUAUCCAGGUUGCUUCCCCUGCCCAAACUCUGACCACUCAGGCGUCCCCUUAGGCCCUCGGAUUGGUAUCCGCCUCUGCCUCUUCCUCGUCCUGGCAUUCAUUC